AUGUGUCUCCCUGUGCCUAUGGGUAGUGGAGGGAAACAGGGUUUCUAAUGAACAGAACCGGAGGCCAACAGGAGGGUAUUAUACCUGGGCCACCUGCCCCUAUUCCAGUGAAAGUUGGAGCUGGAAAUUGAAGUUCAUAGUUAAAUGAUAAGGCACCAGCUCCUCUGAGCGUGCAUCACUUCGCAUAACUAGUGUGAACUAAGAAUGCCGCCUGCCAUAUCAGUAAACAAAGGAUGUUGCAGCCAUCAAGCCAUCACAUUACAGCCUCCCCUACGGUGAGCCCUGAGGGAACUCAGGAUGGAAACAGGAUGCCCGCCAUCUAACAGUCUGCUGCCGCAGCCACCCACGACGGUGAACGCUGAUGAGACACCGGAUGAGAAAGCACAGAACACUGGCCCCAGAUAGCUGAGGUGCUUAUCAAAGGAAUGAUUUCAGUGAGCCCAGACUCUCGCAUCUUCCCAUAAAUAUAAAAGCGCUGAAUUCCUUAAUUUGAGAUAUCUGGUUUUCUUUAGUUAACAGUAAUCUUUUGAUGUUCCGACUACCUGGUCUUUGUUACAAAAACUCCUCUAUCUCCUGGCUCCCCACCUUGCCUCUUUGGAGCAAUCCCUCAGAGUGAUCUGAGAGUCCUGUCUCCUGAGCUUGAAGUCCUCAGAAUGUCUGCUGAAUAACACAUAACUCUUAACUUUUAAGUCGUGCAUUUUUUUUCAGUUGACAAAGGGUAAUCCCCAGGAUUCACUGAGGGUCUCUGACCAUAAUUUGAAUUGAUGCUGACAUGUUUGCGUUCUUACAGCUGCUUUUUCUAUUUUUGGUCUAAUCCUUUCUUGUCAGACAUUAUUUCUUCCUGUUUUCAGUAAUCCUAAUGAAGAAAUUCUUGUAUGCGCCAAUAGAUUUGGAAGCCAGAUAUGCAGUAAUGAAGAGAUUGAGGGCUUGAGGGUGUUUUGAAUGUUAUAAAACUACGGUGCAUGAGAUUUACUAUUUGUUGUUUAUGAUAUCUACUUGAGUAUUCACAGAGUUUUACUUAUUUGCUGAUUCUUUGCUGUGUGUUCGAUGUGUGAGUUGAUGGUAUAGAUAAUUUCCAAAUAAAUGAGGUUCAGCUACA